GUGAAAUUGACGUUUGUUUAGCUUGACUUGUGUUUUUUUUAUAGUAAAUAUAAAAUCUGUAAAAGUUGGAAGUAUUGGCAAAAAGGUAGAUAUGGAAGAAAUUUAACUACUUGCAGAUGUGAUCAAUAAGAUUAUAGAAGAUGUUGUCAAACGAAGUAGCAGAAAUGGUACCGGUGAAACUGCAGCUAAAAGGAACACGUUUUGCAUAAAAUGACUUUAGUAAAAUGUUUACCCCUUAGGAGAUACAGCUGUAGUUUGAAAACCAAAAAAGCUCACACGAUUGCAACUAAGAAAUAUAUAAGCAGGCGGCUGUCAUGUUAUCAUUAGAUCUUUUGUGGGUGCUUCCUUGGAGUUUGCUACUCCAUAAUUUUAUUUUAUUUAUGAUAACGGGAAGAAUUAUGGCAAAUAAUUUUACUGGUGAUGAAAAUGUUGACAUGAAGCGAGUAUUUUUUGAAUGUUGGAAAAACUGCCGUAGCAAGAAAAAGCAGUUCACCACAGACAGACUUUUUCAGCAGUAGAAAGAAGACUUCAGGAAACUGGGAAAAUACAGCCUCAUGGCAAGGGAAGUAGGAAAUGGAAAUUAUAGUCAUUUUAUAGACUCUGACUGUGCUUGUCUCCAAAUUAGUAAUAGGAUUGUACCGAAAACCCAAAACUUUCAGUACGUUCAAGUGAUGAUGAAUAGUGAAGUGUCUGAUCAACAACCGGACCCUAAUAAAUUACUAUCGUUUAGUAUAAAUUUUCCUUUAACGGCUCAAGACAGUCCCUGUUGUUCGAGUAGUGCCCUUGUUAAUAUCCAUGAUGAUGUAAUGAAAAUUUCUAAUUUUGAUAAUAAUUUUCCUCUAUGCUAUACUGUAACUAUAAAAUGAUAUCCGAUGUGACAAAUUUUUCAAAAUUAAUCAACUCUCUUGCUUUUGAUGGAAUAAGUCUAAGUUCAGGGUUUUAUUAUGAAAAUAAUGAACAAAGUAUUUGUGGAUUUGAAGAUUUAGGAAAUAAACGGACAAAUAUGUCUUACUUUUUAUGAUAAGAGGCGUUUGCACAAGCUAUAAAUAGGUUGUAGUAUAUUACUUUGUAAAUUAAAUUAAAAUUAUUUUCAAAAAUUCAACGAUAGUUUUCAAAAAAUUCAGGUUAAAGUUGCUGCAUAAUAACUGAAUCAAACAGUUGCCGCUAAAAUAGAAAUUUUUUUCAGUUAGUGAUUUACCUGUGGAAUCACUUCACACAGCAGAAUUUGUGUAUAUUGUUGGAAACUUAUUUGAUAAAAUAUUCAAAAAAGUUGCUUACCAUUAUAUGCUUAUAUGCCAUAGUAAUGAAGUAAUUGCAAAAUUGCAUUUGUAAAAAUAAAUACUAAUUUUUAGAAAAUAUGAAACCGAAAUGACAUCUUAUAAUUAGAUACGUAUAUUGUGUUCAUUGAUUAGUUGAUUGAUUGAUAAUUUUAUUUAUCAUUCAGUCAAGUCUAAACAUUUCUGUUAAAAGAUUGUAUUUUAUCCAGCAACUUUCAGUUUUUUUGUGCUUAGAUAACAGUUGUAAUAGAAAAUAUAUAGUUUGUGAAUAGAAUUGUUCUUAUUAAUUAAAUUUAUGAACUUGUGUACAUACAAGGUGUCCUGAAAUUCAUGCAACAAAAUUUGGUCAUAGAUUCUGAAGACAAAUUUAGGAGACCCGUAUUUUUUCUUUUUGCCAACUGGCCCCCUCUUUCGGUGUUACAUCCCCCUUAAAUCUGCCAUAUCAAAAUCAUGUACGAGAAUCACUAAAUUUGNGAAA